GCUUAUGGCCAUACCACUCUGACAAUGCCUGAUCUUGUCUGAUCUCUGACACAAAGCUGAGAUGGGCCUGGUUAGUACUCGGAUGGGAGACUGCAUGGCAAUAACAGGUGCUGUAAGAU
ensembl:rRNA 5S_rRNA 5S ribosomal RNA